rnacentral:rRNA from 1 species
GACGAACGCUGGCGGCGUGCUUAACAUAUGCAAGUCGAACGGAAAGGCCCCCAUCUUGGUGGGGGUGCUCGAGUGGCGAACGGGUGAGUAACACGUGGGUGAUCUGCCCUGUACUUCGGGAUAAGCUUGGGAAACUGGGUCUAAUACCGGAUAGGACCAUGGUUUAGUGUCUCAUGGUGGAAAGAUUAUUGUUUUGGUGCAGGAUGAGCUCGCGGCCUAUCAGCUUGUUGGUGGGGUAAUGGCCUACCAAGGCGUCGACGGGUAGCCGGCCUGAGAGGGUGGACGGCCACAUUGGGACUGAGAUACGGCCCAGACUCCUACGGGAGGCAGCAGUGGGGAAUAUUGCACAAUGGGCGCAAGCCUGAUGCAGCGACGCCGCGUGGGGGAUGACGGCCUUCGGGUUGUAAACUCCUUUCGUUAGGGACGAAGCCGCACUUUUUUUGGGUGUGGUGACGGUACCUUUGUUAAGAAGCACCGGCUAACUACGUG